rfam:Erwinia carotovora subsp. atroseptica SCRI1043, complete genome
UGGGGUAUCGCCAAGCGGUAAGGCACCGGAUUCUGAUUCCGGCAUCCGAGGUUCGAAUCCUCGUACCCCAG